AUGGUGCCCGUGAGAAAGCUGUGGUGAAGGGAGGCAAAAAAAAAAGCAGGUUCUGAAGUUCACUCUUGAUUGCACCCACCCCAUAGAAGAUGGAAUCAUGGAUACUGCCAAUUUUGAGCAGUUUUUGCAAGAAAGGAUCAAAGUGAACUGGAAAGCUGGGAACUUUGGUGGAGGAAUGGUGACCAUCCAAAGGAGCAAGAGGAUGAUCACCGUGACAUCCGAGGUGCCUUUUUCCAAAAGGUAUUUGAAAUACCUCACCAAAAAAUAUUUGAAGAAGAAUAAUCUUCAUGAUUGGUUGUGCAUAGCUGCUAACCGUAAAGAGAGUUACAAAUUAUGUUACUUCCAAAUUAACCAGGACGAAGAAGAGGAGGAAGACAAGGAUUAAAUUUCAUUUAUCUGGAAUAUUUUGUAUGAGCUCUUGAAUAAAACUUGGGAACCCAAUUGGUGGUUUACCGUUGUAUCUCUGCAGUGUGGAUUGAACAGAGAAUUGGAAAUCAUAGUCAAAGGGCUUCCCUUGGGCCGCCACUCACUUAAUUGUAACAUGAUUUUUUUAUUUUUUAUUUUUUUCUGCUUGAAAAUUUCAAUUCUUGUGGUAAUACUAGAGUAGAAGGAGAGGGUGACUUUACGGAACUGACAGACAUCAGGCAGGCAGAUGAGGGCGUGGAGGUAUGGGCUGAAGGGACUGUUUUAUUUUAAAAAGUGUGACUGUCAAUUGUUUCUGUUGCUUCUCCCAAAGAAUGAUUCAGGGAUACAAGUGGGCUCCUCUCAUUCAUU